rnacentral:rRNA from 1 species
AUACGGAGGAUGCGAGCGUUAUCCGGAUUUAUUGGGUUUAAAGGGAGCGUAGGUGGGAUAUUAAGUCAGCUGUGAAAGUUUGGGGCUCAACCUUAAAAUUGCAGUUGAUACUGGUUUCCUUGAGUACGGUACAGGUGGGCGGAAUUCGUGGUGUAGCGGUGAAAUGCUUAGAUAUCACGAAGAACUCCGAUCGCGAAGGCAGCUCACCGGGCCGGAACUGUCACUGAUGCUCGAAAGUGCGGGUAUCAAACAGGAUUAGAUACCCUGGUAGUCCGCACAGUAAACGAUGAAUACUCGCUGUUUGCGAUACACGGUAAGCGGACAAGCGAAAGCGUUAAGUAUUCCACCUGGGGAGUACGCCGGCAACGGUGAAACUCAAAGGAAUUGACGGGG